rnacentral:lncRNA from 1 species
UGUAUAAAGGUGAAUUGCAAAGCAUACAUUUAUUCAUCACAUGAUCGAUAUAUAUAUUUUACAAAGUAGGAAGUACACGUUGCUACUCUGGUACUAAGAUUUGUGUUACUGUCAUUCAUAGCUUAUGUCAUGAGGCAUAUUCUUCCAGUUCGAGGACAAAGUGGGAGUGCAAAGAGGGUCCAAAAAACUGAAGACAGAUCUUCUACUUUCUUUAUGGAGGGCGAGGCCUUAUUGGCGUGCAAUCUUGCCUUGCAUUUUCUUUCCAUCGGAGCCGACCCAGGUUUCCUCGGAAGGUGUAUGUGCACAUUUACGCCUCUCCUUGUACUCGUGGGACAUCCAUUGCCGACGGGGUAGCAAUGGUAUCAUGCUUCCUAUCACACAAAAUCAUCACAAACACAAAUGAGUAAAAAGGGCGAACUGUACUUUGCCAAAAAAGAACAGAAGAAAGAAAGAGAGCAAGCUGCAUGCUGAGAUAAAGAACCACAACUCGAAUGCACAUUUAUAUAUAGAAGCGUGAGCGAUCACCCAAUGGAGUUUCAGUCCUCAAAACCUUCCUUAAGUACAUAUCAUAGGGACAAUCCUAAAUAUAGGACCUACUGUAUAGCCUCCAGUAAAUUUUCAUCGACCAUACGGGAACAACAAAACAUCCCUUGAACAGGUCAAGCGGAUUAGAGCAGCAGGGAAAGUCCCCGGCCUAUGUUGAACUACUGUACUUGUAGCUUUGAAGGUAUCACUAUGCUCUGCAAAUACGGACCUCUUUACUCCCACGCACAAAUAAACAUGCUCCUUUUGUCAUAUAAGUUCCUGAAGCCUUGAACAUGCUAGUCUCAGUCCUGUGGUGAGUCUUGUUCUAACAACUCCUGAACAUUAUUUCGUUGAUUCUUGAUGGACCACAUGAAACGAAAACAAAAACUGCAUGUGCACAGCAAAUACGAAAUAGCUUCAGAAUUAUCUCUCUUUGCAAGAUUCAAAGUGUUGUACAGACCUAGAAAAUGCUAUACAAAAACUACGCACAUUCUGACAAUCUGAGUGUCACCCAUUUACUCACUACAGGAAUUACUUAAUCGUAGCACUGAACUCUGGAGAACUACAUUCUUACUGUUACAGAGCAAAUUAGAACUUAGAAACAAAUCCAACUAUGUGCAACAAUUAAUAAUUGAACCUAUAAAAUUCCUGGGCCUGUACAGAAAGAGGAUACUAUCAUGUACUCCCUUCGUAAACUAAUAUGAGAGCGUUUAGAUCACUACUUAGUGAUCUAAACGAUCACUACUUAGUGAUCUAAACGCUUUCAUAUUACUUUACAAAGGGAGUAC